rnacentral:lncRNA from 1 species
UGGGGUGAGGAGCACACACACAUUCACACACUUCUCUGGCAGCUGACUAUGACCUCUUCUGCCCCACAGACUAACAGAUUCAACCACACACACACACACCCUGGCACAUACGUUCAAGUGUUUUUUUGCUCCAGUUGCCUUCUUUAAUGACUUCAACAUGGGCCUGCCAAUAUUUUUUAUUUUAGCAAUGGUUCUAAAUCUUGCUCACAGAGGGGACAUGCAAGAUUUGGAGACCAGAGACUUGGUUGUUGAGCAAACAGUGACAGGAAUUUUGGGGGAGGAGGUCUACCUGCGUUGUCUGUACACUGGACAGAGUAACAUCUUGUACUCCUCCUGGAACCGUUUCGAUUCUACAAAGAAGGCAAAGAAAAUGGCAGGCUACAAAUCCAGUGCCGGUUUUUUCAACAGAGAAAACUUUGACAUCCCGGCAUCAAUUACAAACCUUACUGUAAAGAUAAAUGUGACAAGUUUUGAUCAAGAGGGAGAAUACACAUGCGUCUUCGACUCUGAAGAGGAUGAAACAAAGGACACCAUGUUUCUCAGUGUUAUUGCUCGGCCUGAUGUUGACAUAACUGUGAAAGAGGAAGUUGUGAAUAGGACCCUCUACCAUGCUGUCACUUGCUCUGCCUCCGGUGCCAAGCCUGAGGCUGUGAUUAGAUGGGAGAUCUCUGGUGCCCUUCCAAGAGACGACAUCUUCUCUGUGAACAUGAUUAAUUCAGUUCAUCCCAAUGGCACAACCAGUUCAAUCAGUGUACUUCGCUUCCCCCUAAUUAUGAAUAAUGAGAGCACUGUUACCUGUGUGGUUGAGCAUCCAGCUUUUACUGAACCCAAAAGAGCCAACAUAGAGGUGGACACAUUUGUUUCUCCUGUUAUAAGCAUGGAGACCUUCCUGGUCCAAGAAGGAGGAGAAGACUUUCAAGAGGUCAUCUGUACAGCAACAGGAGGGAGGCCACAUCCAAAUAUCACGUGGAUACUGCCUGAAUUCAAAAACAUGCCACCUUUAGAGAGAAAUGUCUCCAAACCAGAUUCAGUUAUCGGUUCAUAUAGGUUCCCAUCAGAUCCUUAUGAAGGAGAAAAUAUCGUUUGUGUCUUUAGCUACGUGUUUCUCCCAUUCAUAAACAAAAGGACAAUCACUUUGCCAAUUUACUAUCUUUCCUCACUUCAGCUGAAGGACCUUGAUUAUGCCAUUAACAGUGAGAAUCAGACUUCACUGGCGCUUGUGGAGGGGGACACGGACAUUAUAAUCAGGAUGGAUGUUUUGGGCAAUGUACCAAGUUAUAAAAUGAAAUGUUCCAGGGAAGGCCAACCUCUGCCUGAGGAUGUGGAUGUGGUUGGCAGUGAUCUCUUUAUCAGAGGACCCAUACAGCUGCACCUUGUUGGACAAUAUCUCUGUCAGGUCUCUUACCGUAGACAUCAGGUUUCCUUGCAGUUCACAAUCAAAGUAAAUCCAAAAGUCCUACUGCCAGUGACAUUUCCCCCAAAUAUCAGUGUGAAUUUUGUAGAGAAUUCAGACUAUGUUCACAUUGAGUGUUUGGCCUCCAAUGCUGUUCCCGCUGCAAAUGUGUCCUGGAUUCUUCCACAAGAGAUUAAUAGUACAAUUCAUUCUGAAGACACACACUAUAAUGGAUCUUGUUCUGUCAGAAGUGUGUUGACUGUGCCUAGCUGCAUGACCCGUAAAUAUGCAGUUGAGUGCGUAGUCGACCAUCCUGACUUCAUGGAAAAAGAAAGGCGGCAUAUUCCUCUUCCUGUGUGUGCACCACCAAAUAUAACCCUGCAGUCUGGUGUUGAAUGGGACAAUGGCAUUAUAUACGCAUGGCUGGUGUGUUCAGUGCAGAGCCAGACCCCAGCAGCGGCCAUCACCUGGGCUGUAGAGUGCCAUGGCAUUGAUAUUAGCUCUAGUGAAUUUAUAAUGACUCAACCUGUGUUUCAGGAGAGUCAUAUGGUUGUUGCUCAGAGCACGGCGCGUAUUGCUAUUUACUCACAUGCCGGAUGCAGCGUGACCUGUGUGGUUGAGCAUCGAGGGUUAGAGAAACCAGAGAACAAAAGCAUUGUCCUCCCAUCCUUAGGUAAGUUUUACUAUUACAUUAACCCCAAAAGUAGUUUGACACUUGAGCCAGACUUAGAAAAGUAUUCAUGUGAUUGCAUUAGGAAACUAAAUGUCAGUCUAUUCAUACUUUUUAAACAUGCUUCUUAUAGCUUGAAUUUCAAGAAAUAA